rnacentral:rRNA from 1 species
CAGUCGCCGCGGUAAUACGUAGGUCCCGAGCGUUGUCCGGAAUUACUGGGCGUAAAGGGUGCGUAGGCGGUGAGUUAAGUCUGUUGUGAAAUCCCCGGGCUCAACCUGGGAAUGGCAAUGGAUACUGGCUCGCUAGAGUGUGAUAGAGGAUGGUGGAAUUCCCGGUGUAGCGGUGAAAUGCGUAGAGAUCGGGAGGAACAUCAGUGGCGAAGGCGGCCAUCUGGAUCAACACUGACGCUGAAGCACGAAAGCGUGGGGAGCAAACAGGAUUAGAUACCCGCGUAGUCCCUGUCUCUUAUAC